GUGUGUGUGUGUGUGUGUGUGUGUGUGUGUGUGUGUGUGUGUGUGCAUGUAAGCGAUACAGAACAAAAUCCUGCUCUGUGUGUCGUAACAUUACAAUAGUUUCUUUGAGCUCUUAAAAGCUCAUGGAUCCUCUGAAGUGUGUCGAGUUCUUCCGUUACAAUUCCGGUUGAAGAUCCAGCGUGUGUGUGUGUGUGUGUGUGUGUGUGUGUGUGUGUGUGUGUGUGUGUGUGUGUGUGUGUAUAAAAGACCUGAAAUGUUACAAGCUCCCCAGAGUGGAAUAAAGCCACAUUUCUGAGCUGUAAUGACGGGGAAUAAAAGAAAGAAAGGAAACAGGAAAAGAAAUGAAGUAAAAGAGAAGUUUUAUAUUUCUUUCUCUUCCCGGUCACAUUUUCGCUCUCGACAGGGUGUGUGUAUGUACAGAAGUGUGUGUAUGUACAGACAUGUGUGUGUGCAGAAGUGUGUGUGUGUACAGAAGUGUGUGUGUGUACAGAAGUGUGUGUGUGACUGUGAUAACACACAAUUCCCAGCUUUGUAUCAUGUUUUCUUGGAAGUAUCAGGAUGUGUCUCAGAUGUCGUGGGAAGUCCCCACACACACAGAGCAGGCUUCUUGUGUGUGUGUGUGUGUGUGUGUGUGUGUGUGUGUGUGUGUGUGUGUGUGUUAUGACUUCUUCCCAAGCCCAUAUUACACUGCCUUGAUGCCUUGAUGUCUCACACUAUGAGCUGCAGUCCAACACGCCACUGUUCAACAAACUGUUGCUUCCAGAGUCAGAAACACACAUUUAAUGCUAAUUUCAGCUAAAAUCCUUUGUGCUUUUCUAUAAGAUUAAAAUGCUACAACACAAGUUCUGAUUUUUACAUUCAGUUGACAGGAAACUGGUUCAGUUUUUGUGUUAAAUUGUGUACUUGCCUUUUUUUUAUACAACUGAGCAACUGAGGGUUGAGGGCCUUACUCGGGGGCCCAGUGGUGGCAGGUUUGUGGCCCUUGGUAGGAUUUUUGUCCAUCUAUUCCAUAAACACAGCAUGAGGCACUCGAGUUUGCAAAAUGGUAGACACAAGGCUAACGACCCUAACGACCCUAACGACCUUUCCCAAGUCAUCACAAAAUAAGAAGGAAGUAACAAGAAGUCACAUGACAAAUUCGACCAAUCACCUUCCUCAGCACAGCUUCUCACAGCUCCUACACCUGAUUCAGAUGAAGCGAACCCCAGACCAGGUCUGAUGACUCUCCCAGGUCAGAAACCAGCAUUCACACUUCAUCAACCGUCUCUGAGUCUCUCACAAAGCUCCAUCAAAAUGGUCUUUAUGAUCACAGCAGCAGCUCUGACUGAGACCUGGACAUGAACUAGCUCAGGGACGUACAAAUCUGGAUGAAUUCACACACACACACACACACACACACACACACCAAAAGGUGAUAAAGGAAAUGUCAGGCUUGUUCUGUGUGUGUGUGUGUGUGUGUGUGUGUGUGUGUGUGUGUGUGUGUUAGAGUCAGAGAGGAAGAAGAGAGGAGGAAUGCGACUGUGGUCCAGACGAGCAGGCAGCCAGCUUCAUUCACAAACACAACCCAGAUACACACACGUUCUCCGUCUCGUCUCCCGAUCCUCUCUCCUCUCGUUCUCUUCUCUCAUCCGACUCUCUUUACACUCUCACGUCCUUCUCCCUCAUUCUGGUUCAUGUAAAACACUUUAUUGGUGCGUCUGUCAUUAUUCAGCCAAAGAGGCUAUAAACUGAGAUUUAUUGGCACAUUACAGUUUACACGGUUUAGUAUAAAAGGCACGUGAAAUUUAAGCAACAAAGCAGGCGGUCGAAUAAAUAAAUAAAUAAAUAAAUAAAUAAAUGCCUCAAUAAAGUAGAAAAUAAAACAAACGUACGAUAGAAUGUUAAUAGAGAACGAACAGAGAAACAGCGGGAAUAAACGUGACGUAUCUGUCGACGGGGUCGGGGGUGCCAAUACUUUGUGCUGAACAAGACUUUCUGUGCAAUGAGGAGUGUGUGUGUGUGUGUGUGUGUGCAGGCUGAGGACGUAACGUACGGUUCAUCAGAGUCACGGACAGGGAAUGUGUUCUUCAUACUAAAGGAAUGCUGCUGCACUUAUUGGGUUUGGAUGUGAAUGUGUUUCAUCUUCCACUCGUUCUCUGAGCUGCCAAGACGCUUUUCUCUCGCUCAGCACUCGGGGUUUUGUGGCGUCUUCCUCUCUCCACAUCACUUAUUCUUGGGGUUGAAUUUUCCUUUCCUGGACGUGUUUAAUGAUGGAGUGUGUGCCAGUGCGGCGGUCUGUGUAACGACCGCUAGCCGUUUCCUUCGACUGAUGCGUUUUUCCGUACGCUGGUGAACACGAGGAAACGAUACAAAAGAAAGACAAGAAAGAAAAAGAGAAAUAAAGGGAAGUCUCCACAGUGAGUGAGUGACAGGAGACGAUGUCAUGACUCACGGAAAAGGUGAAGAAGAGCAGAGUGAGAGCUUCAGUCAGCAGAUGGAGUGAUGUGGAGGAUGACAGUCAGAAACCCUGAACUUUCAGAAGAACCCUUUUAGGAAGCUUCAGUAACAACCCUGAACCAGUUCUCCUGCCUGUGGUUCACCUCUCUGUGGUCUCCACUUCCUCUCUGCUGUAACAUCUAACACACUGUAAGUCCAUCAUCGUCCCACUGCUACAGGCAGGAGACCUGACUGUAAUCAUCACAGCUGGAUGUUUAGUAUCGUGCUCUGACAGAAGGUGGCGCUGGACUCAACGCUGCUCCUCACUCUGCUGAUGGGAACAUGGAAGGAAAAGAAGCUCAAGUUCAAGGUCAGAAUCCUGCAGAACUGACACACUUCUGUACUGCACAAACAUAAUGAGGUGUGAAGAUCCAUCUGAUGUCUGAAUGCAGUGUGUGGUUCUCUUCUGGUUCUCUUCUGGGUCUCUUCUGGGUCUCUUCUGGGUCUCUUCUGGG